rnacentral:rRNA from 1 species
AUGGCCGGUCAUCGACAAUCGUUGGCAGCGGCUUCUCUGAAGCUCCCAGCUCUUCUGCUUCUGUGGAUCUUCAGCUUGAACUGGGGGCAUGCCGUCGCGCACUUUGAUCCUGCAAACAUGACCGAACUGCAGAAACAUGUCUCCUUUUUCGACCACAACAAGGAUGGCUUCAUCACUCCUGUGGAAACCAUCCAAGGGUUUGUUGCAAUCGGUUGCGAGUAUGCAUUUGCUACUGCUGCCUCAGCCUCCAUUCACGGUGCCCUUGCUCCUCAAACAACCCCGGCUGGUACACCACUGCCUCACUUGACAAUAUACGUGGAGAAUAUCCACAAAGCUAUGCAUGGAAGUGAUUCGGGUGUAUACGAUCCUAAAGGAAGGUUUCUUCCCCAAAAGUUUGAGGAAUUAUUCAAAACAUAUGCAAUACUCCGACCAGAUGCGUUGACACUUGCAGAGAUGCAUGCGAUGCUCUUUGCUAAACGAGAUCUAGACCCGAUAUCAUGGCGCCACCCGAGAUAG